UACAGAGGUCUCAAGCGUUGUUCGGAUUCAUUGGGCGUAAAGGGUGCGUAGGCGGCGCGGUAAGUCGGGUGUGAAAUCUUGGAGCUUAACUCCGAAACUGCAUUCGAUACUGCCGUGCUUGAGGACUGGAGAGGAGACUGGAAUUUACGGUGUAGCGGUGAAAUGCGUAGAUAUCAGGAGGAACACCGGUGGCGAAGGCGGGUCUCUGGGCCGAAAUUGACGCUGAGGAGCGAAAGCGUGGGGAGCAAACAGG
rnacentral:rRNA from 1 species